UACGGAGGGGGCGAGCGUUAUUCGGAAUUAUUGGGCGUAAAGGGCGCGUAGGCGGCCCGGUAAGUCAAAGGUGAAAUCCCUCGGCUCAACUGAGGAACUGCCUUUGAAACUGCUGGGCUUGAGUCCGGGAGGGGGUAGCGGAAUUCCCAGUGUAGCGGUGAAAUGCGUAGAUAUUGGGAGGAACACCGGUGGCGAAGGCGGCUACCUGGACCGGCACUGACGCUGAGGCGCGAAAGCGUGGGGAGCGAACAGG
rnacentral:rRNA from 1 species